CCCGAGCGGGGUCCGGGCGCUGGAGAACGGGAUGGCAGGAACCUCCAGCCAAAGCCAUCGGUAGCCUGGCGUAAAAACGCUUGGAGGCGUUGGGCUGCGUCCAGGAUUGCUGGAUUUCCGGGGCGUGGGGGUGGGUUUCUUUUAUUUAUUUAUUUACUGGCUUAUUUACUUACUUUUAUUUCUUUUCAGAGUCACUUGUUGAAGCAGGAGGGCAAGAAGUUAUUGGAAAUGGCAAAGAAGAGCACUGAUGACCAGGUGGCAUCUUGGGGACAGGCAGGAGGAUGAUCUCUGCAUUAGAAACCCAACUCUGGACUCAUCCCUGAAGCAUGCAGGGCCCCACAUUACUCAGCACUGACCCCCAAGAUGCUGAACAGUGGUGGCUGGGAACAAGCGAAGACCUAGUCGGCUGAGAUGUGUGAAGCAGGCUCACCCGUCCAAACACUCGUCCAGCUUUGCUGCGGAUCAGUUCCAGACUGUCGGGGUUCUUCUUCUGAGGCAUCAGGCUGCUGCCAGUGCUGAAGGAAAGGAGACUCUGCUGCUGCCCUGAUGGGUGUCCGUCAAAGAGCAAGCCUAGAAGUCUCCAGCCGCAGCAAGGCCAAGGCCGUGGAUAUGGAAAAGGACUUACAUGGCAGCACGUUCCACCAGGGUCUUAAUGAGCUGCAGGAGUGUGCAGCUUUCCAGCUACGUCUCCAAUCAGCUCCUGAGGACAAAAGGAGGAUUUCUAUCAGCGACUCUGUAUUCUAUGAAGGAGACUCCACAUGAGCAGACCUCCUCCCUGCCUGGAAGGGACUCAGCGCUAGGAUCCUUGACUGUCUCCAUGUGUCUGCCAAUCCCUGCUGAAACAAUGUGCCCUAGAGGACAGCAGGAGAGAGCCUACAGAGUUUCUCCCAGAUAGAGGGAAGAACCUGAAGGCAACGGCAGGCUGCUUAGCCAGGGACUUUGAUUUUAACUCGGUUGAGCUCGCGUCUGCCAGACCACCCCCGAGACUACCCCGCCGGAGAAGCAAAGUUCACCCUCACCUCGGCUGCCAUUUCGGACGACGUUUUGCUCGUUUGUGCAGCGAUCCUGGCAACUGGUGCAACCUGCGGAACAGCGAGGUGAGAUCCUUGUUGUAGGUGCUUGGAAGUCCUUUGAGAACCAUGAGAAUAGCAGCCAACUGCAGAGAGAAACAGCAGGCUCACCCGUCCAAACACUCGUCCAGCUUUGCUGCGGAUCAGUUCCAGACUGUCGGGGUUCUUCUUCUGAGGCAUCAUGCUGCUGCCAGUGCUGAAGGAAAGGAGACUCUGCUGCUGCCCUGAUGGGUGUCCGUCAAAGAGCAAGCCUAGAAGUCUCCAGCCGCAGCAAGGCCAAGGCCGUGGAUAUGGAAAAGGACUUACAUGGCAGCACGUUCCACCAGGGUCUUAAUGAGCUGCAGGAGUGUGCAGCUUUCCAGCUACGUCUCCAAUCAGCUCCUGAGGACAAAAGGAGGAUUUCUAUCAGCGACUCUGUAUUCUAUGAAGGAGACUCCACAUGAGCAGACCUCCUCCCUGCCUGGAAGGGACUCAGCGCUAGGAUCCUAAUCAGAGGUGAGGCAUCAGAACUAUUGCAGCAAAGACGUUUGCUGUCCCCUUCUCCAUUUAAAACCCGGGAAAACACAUCAAGUAGAGAAGCACCCGAACGAGCACGG